GGGGCUGACAAAGCUUAGACGGAUUAUUGACAGUAUGCAGGCGAGUCGAUUUGUACCGUAAGUACUCUAGUAAAUGCAGACAAAACUGCUAGUAAACAUGUGGCUUACAUGCCAGUUUACGCCUAAGAUCUUAACUAUUUAGAUCUUGUCGGGUUACUCGAGAUACCAUAGCGUAAUACCGGUAUCAUAAAUCUUGGUAUGAAGGUUAGCCUCUUGGCAGGGGUUAGCACGAAAAUUUUGCCAUGGCGCAUUAGGGUUUUGUUUAUUCCAGCCCUAGUGGUAAGCCGAGACCAAAAGAAUAGACUAUGCUCGUAGAAUGCAUGCAUGGAGAUUUUUCGGACCCGGAGGCAGUAUCCGGCAGCUCCACCA
rnacentral:tmRNA from 1 species